rnacentral:rRNA from 1 species
UACGUAGGGACCAAGCGUUGUUCGGAUUUACUGGGCGUAAAGGGCGCGUAGGCGGCGUGGUAAGUCACUUGUGAAAUCUCUGAGCUUAACUCAGAACGGCCAAGUGAUACUGCUGUGCUCGAGUGUGGAAGGGGCAAUCGGAAUUCUUGGUGUAGCGGUGAAAUUCGUAGAUAUUCGGAGGAACACCAGUGGCGAAGGCGGCUCACUGGUCCAUUACUGACGCUGAGGUGCGAAAGCGUGGGGAGCAAACAGG